rnacentral:lncRNA from 1 species
GUUGGAGUGGGCUACUAGACCCCCCUUUUCAACCCAAUACAAGAACAUGACUUUUAAUAAUUAAGUUUUUAUUAUUAUUUGAAUUUGAAUAUUUACAUGACCUUUUUUUCUUAAGUUUUAACAGAAUUUUAACAGAAGGGACCACAUUUUCUAAAAUAUACAAAAACAUGGACUCAAUUAGCCAAAUUGAUAACACGAGGACUAAAGUGGUCAAUGAGUUAAAUUUGGAUCUAUAUCUAACUUUUCUAUUUUUUUUAUAUACCAAAACUACCCUCAUCCUUUUCAAGAUAUUCUCAACUCUAAGUACCCUCCUCCUAUCGUUCUCCUUCUUGCCAAUCUCAUCAAAACCCAUCGGAGGAGCUUAUUCCUCCUCCUCAUCCCCACCCCCACAGUAGCCCCAUCCUCAUCCAUGUAGCAGCCCCACCCCCUACCGUGCCAAGGGUAGCAUUCAUAUGUUCAAUCAAUGCUUGAAAUGGUAAAAAUGAACAACAACAAAAUUAACGAUAUAGUUUAUGGUUCUAUUUAAUUCAUUCGCCCUUUCAAACCAGUUGAGUAAAGGCCAUUAGACCCACUAACAGGGCCUAGUCUCGUGGAAAAUAUUGUUAACUUGACAGGACCCGCCCCGAAUUUCCCGAAACCCAAGACGAAUCUUGUGAAAAUUCCGAUAUCACUCCGAUGUCGAACCCAGUCACUAAAACUAAAGCCUCCUUUUCCAAAAGGAAUAAAGGCACGAGACUUUCUGCCGAAAUUUAGGCAGUCUCCCUCGUAAAUUGAACAUUCCCAAAAUUUCAACCUGCAAUAAAACACAAUUUAAAAAGCCAACUACCAGCACACACAAUGUAAUAGCACACAGUUUACAGACAAGGCCUCCAGCCUUCAAAUAAAUCAAGGCAGAACAACUAGUAGUACUCUUAAGUGAAUUAAUAUACUGACAAUGCAACUAAGGAACUCAAAUAAUUUUACAAGUACCACUGCAGUCAACAUGAAAUAACUUCCCAAGUUUUCAAUCUGCAAAGACACAAUAAUACUUCUCACAAAUUUCUAGCAUGCAUCAACUACCAUCUAUGAAUUUUCACCAAUAGUCCCAGGGGCCUCGGCCCAUAAUACCAUAUAAUCAAACCUAAAAACAUGUAUAACGUUUAGUCAACGACUGCACCUAGGCGCUACCCUAGGUUGCCUACGUACCCUUACUGAGGGAUCAAGCCACACGUAGUUCUUUCUACUAAAUCCUAAUUCCAAACACAUACAAUACCUUUAUUCAUCUCUCUGUUAAUCACAUAAUCUCCCCAUAUGCCGAAACAUCCAACGCCAUGUAUGGAGUCUGUCAGCAUGCCGAAAAAUCCUACUCCACGUGUGACCUAACAAUCAUAUCAUCUCCCCAUACGAGGCGUAUGAGGUCUGUCCUCACGUCGGAAAAUCCUACGCCACGUGAGACCUCACAAUCACAUAAUCUCCCCAUACUCUGGAACAUCCAAAGCCACGUAUGGAGUCUGUCGACACGCCGAAAAAUCAUACUCCACGUGCGACCUAACUAUUACAAUAUCUCCCUAUACGUCGAAAAAUCCAACACCACGUAUGAGGUCUGUCCUCACGCCGGAAAAUCCUACAUCACGUGGGACCUAACAAUUACAUAAUCUCCCCAUACGCCGGAACAUCCAAAGCCACGUAUGGGGUCUGUCACAACGCCGGAAAAUCCUACGCCACAUGAGACCUCACAAUCACAAUAUCUCCCCAUACGCCAGAAAAUUCAACGCCACGUAUGGGGUCUGUCAGCACGCUAAAAAAUCCUACGCCACGUGUGACCUAACAACAAUCAUAUCAUCUCUCCAUACGCCGGAACAUCCAAUGCCACGUAUGGGGUCUGUCCUCACGCCGAAAAAUCCUACGCCACGUGGGACCUAACAAUCAUAAAUCUCCCUAUACGCCGGAACAUCCAACGCCACGUAUGAAGUCUGUCUCAACGCCGGAAAAUCCUACUCCACGUGAAACCUAACAAUCACCGGAUGGUACUUACACAGUGUAAUCAUCAUCUUUAUAACUUUAAAAUAUAUAUAUAGAUAAAUUUCCAAUAUUGCCUAAACCUCAACCACAAUAUAGUAUCCGAUAUCCCCCAAUUUAAAACAAUAAAUUAAUAUUCUAUUCCCACAAAAUCAACUUAACUCAAGUAGCGGUUAAGACUCAUCAAUAAGGUCAUUUUAAUCCCUUUAGAAAGGUGAAACUAUCUCGGAAGACUCACGGUCAACCAAGAGUCAAACUACUCAAACUUGCUCAAACGGGCCCACAACCCCCAAAUUUCCGAAAGUUCCUAUGGGCUCUACAAGGAUCAGGAUACACUUCCUGCAAGUUUGGUUCAGAUCGGACGGUCGGAUCGCUCACGAUCGCACGAUCGGACGGUUAUUGUAAAAAUAGCCAUAGGAUUGGCACUUUCGGAGUGUCCGGGACUCCGUUUUACGAUCCGUCGAAUCCUAUACGAUCCUAAAGAUGCCUCGAUUAUCAUAUAUCAAAUUGGAGUUGAUCCAACGGUUUGAACAUGUCAAACCGGAUAACGCCUAUUAUGCGAUAUCCGAUUGACGAUCAAACGAUAACCAAAUUCAAAUCCGAGCAUACCGUCAUGCUCGGGACAACAAGAGGGUUAUUUUGAAACUCUAAGACAGGCCACCACAUGACCCACGCGCCACCCCACGCGCCGGCAGUGCGUAGGUGUCCAAAGAAAUUUCCGGCGGCCGGAAAAACUCCAAACCGCCGGCCAAGACUCCCAGGUUAGGUAAAUCACAUGUAGUGGAGCAACUUUUGUUCUUGAACCUACCUCAAAAAGUAGACGGAAGUGGCCGAAAACUGACAGAAUUUCAAUCGCUUAUUUAACCCCCUAAACACAGAAAUUUCUCAUUUCCCACACAACCAUCAGCUAGAACGUCUCGAGAGGUUGAGAAAGCAUACCUGGAUCGAAGAAAAUGGUGGUCGGAGGAGUCCGAACGAGCUCCGUGAAUUUUGGGUUAAAACCGGUCGGUUUUUGUCAUUUUUCGGUGAGCACAGGUGGUUCCAGCGGCUGAGGCUGGUCGGGAAGGAAAGAGUGAGGUGGCCUGGUUCUUUCGGGACCGGUACCUCCCGAAACGGUGGCCGGAUGCGACGGUGGUGACCCAAAAUCCCGGCUGAUGAAUAGUAACAGGGGGCUGUUUCUUGCGAAGGGAGAGGGAGGAAGCAGAAGAAGAAGAAGAAAAAGAAAAAGAAAAUUUAAAACUGCCCGGUUACUGUAGCACGAAACUGUUUGCUACACUAACAAAUUUUAAAAAUUACCUUUGCAUCCUUUUUGUUUUCAGACUUUUCCUUUUUCGUUACAACUCAAAAUUGGGCGUGCUGCAUGUCUACGAACUCAUGUCGACAAGCUCUACGUAAUGGUACCACUUACUUCUCCAAAAUCUUUUCGAAUCAGAAAAUAACCAAAAAACCCUUAUCCAAAGGGUAUAUUCGUAAAUUCAUAUUUAAAUUAAUUUAAUAAUUUAAUUGGGUAAAUAAAUUAGGGUCGGGGUGUUACAUAACUUGCAAACUAAUAGUUUCAUGUUCGAACUCUCAUGGCACCUUGGUAAUGUGCGUGAGAAAAUCCCCUCCUUAUUCCUAACUUUGGCAACCAAAAAAAAAAAGCGAGUCAUCAGGCCAUCAUAUAAAUUCAUCUCUUGUUGUUCGAUCAACAAAAAAAACUCAUCUUGUUAUUUUUUAUUUCAAAAUUAUUUAAUGAAUGCGUAGAACAAUAUAAUAAUGUAAAUAUAUUGGAUUAUUUAUCAUUAAACAUCAGUAAAAUUUUAAAAAUAUAGACAAUAAAAUGUUAUUAUAUAGUAUGAUGUACUUGCCAUUUUAAGUUUUUUUUUUUACUAGUAAGUAUACAAAACAUAUUUUAUUAUGUACAAGGCAUAUUAGUAAUCAAAUUGAUUUUGAUUCCUAUUACUGAAUACUUACAUAAGAAUGAUAUAAUAAUUAGUGGAAAAAAAAGAGGCCUGGUUUCAAACAAAGUACUAAUUACAUGAGUGGGAAAUAUAACUUCUGUUUACUUAUGUUACUCCAUUAAUAAAAUAAUAUAUUAAUUUGUAGCAACUCCGAUCUCUUGGACCAUAAGGGUCCAAGAGAUUUGUGGUCACCCACCGUUGAAUGUUAAUCUAACAGUUCAAAAGUUUCUUAAAAGGAGUACAAAAGCGAGUGAACCGCUGAAUUUACAUCCAACGGUGAGUGACCAUAAAUUUCGUGGACUCCUGUAGUCCAAGAGAUCGAGACUGUAAUUUGUAGAGGAAAUAGGUAACAAAUUUCCUAAAACCCUUGCUAUAUAUUUCUGUCCUGAAAGAUUUAAGGAGCCUCAAAUUUGGAUAUUGCAACCACUUGAGACGUUAAUUAAUUAGACUUUAGAGAACGGUUAGGAUAUUGCAAUUUUUGGAUAUUAUAUAUUCUUUCUCUACUUUACCUUAAUGACUCAUAAUUACCCACUAGCACUGUAACACAGCUUCAAGUUGAAGCCAUGGCAGAGGCGUGGGAGGGGAGAAAGACUACGUAUUUUUAUAGUGUUAUCUCUGACUAAUAAUACUAUAGUAUUCGUGAUAAUACUUCGAUGUGGCAUAACAUUAUUGGCCGAAAAUAACAAAAUAAUACUAUCUCCAUUACAAUUACGUUUUUAUCCGUGGGCUGCUCUUAGGCUUAUCUAGUCUUUAAAAUGCAGUUGAAGAAUUUAUUAUUAUAAAAAUGACGUGAGAGAGAGGGAGGGGGUCAUAUAUUUUCAGAAUAAUUUUGCUAAAAAACGAAAGCAGAAGAAUUAAUUAUUAUGAAAAUGACGUGUAAUAAAACCACAGGUUGUGUGACAUUGCCGUACGGUACAUGCAGUCGGUGAGUCCACAGAUGACCAUGCAUUUGUUUUGAGUCGGAUUAAGCAGUGAAUGGGGGCACUAGUUGUCCAUCUUUAUAUGACCCAAUGACUUAAGAUAUCUAUAUGCAUAGAGACUUUUAAAAAGUAGAAGCAAUACAGCCUUAGAAAGGCAGUGCGUGCAUGGAAAAGGAUUAUCUGGUCCCGAUAUAAAUUUACGGUACCUAAUACAUUAGCGCUAAUUGAUAAUUUUUUGAUACUCUAAUGAUAAGAUUGACAAUUAGUGUCGAAUUGAGAAUAUAUCAGGUACGAUAAGUGUCGAAUUGAGAAUAUAUCAGGUAUGAUAAAUUGAUAUUAAAUAUUUAGUCGGUAGUUGGUAGGUACUUAGUAGCUAUUAAGUAAAUAUUAUAUGAGAUAUGAAGAUCAACAUGAAUUAUAUCUUUGUAAUUAAGUAGCUAUGCUUGUAUCUGGUCUCGAUUUGUAUAUCUAUUAUUAGGUAAAAUACUUUGAGAAAGCACAAAUAGUUUGUGGACAUGAGCGAUAGAUACUGUGGUUGGAUUAUCAACAAUGACAGUGUGAACGACUUUUCUUCAUGGUGUGCUUUAGCUACAUCUUCUACGCUUCUGCGUUGGUCACAUUCAUGUAAUCUUGAACAUGAAGCAACGUACCACAAAGGCUACCAAAACUUUAAUAACUGUGGACCAGAAGGAAGCAGUAUAUAGGUCCUACUACCUGUGCAUUUUUGCUGACUAAUAGUUUGAUGCUUAAGGUAAAUCCAAUACAAUUAGUGUAAAUGUCGUUUUACUAUAUAAUUAGGUAUAUCCAAUACAAAAUAAAUCUUUAAUCUUGAACAUAUUUAUAUAGGGGAUUCUAUGACUCACAAAGAAAACCUACGGAUACAUUUAUGUUUAUGUUUAAUCUCAUUUUCUCUUUUGUAAUUCCAUCUACUUUUCAUAAGAGUUUGUUUGAAACAACUUAUAUAUAAAAACUACGCUUGUUUUUAGAUGAUUAUUGUGGUAGGAUGUAAUCAACAAAAUAGACAAACACGGUAUUUCAAGAAAAGAAUAUAAUAAAAACUAUCUAAUUGAAUGAUCAAAUAGUUUCGGAUCCAAGUGAUUGUCGCAGAGAUGAUCUUUGAAGAAAUAUCUAAAAACUAGAUGGUAUUGGAUUAUUGAAAUGCAUGGUGAGUCUUAUAAGGGUGUCUUUCAAAUAAACUUAUUUGAGAAAUCCCUCAACUAAAGCCAUAUCAGUCUCCUUCUCACAAUAUUUAUAUACACACCACACCUUUUGUGAAAAUCUAAAAAUGCUAAAUUAGAAAUGAAAACUGACAGUUAAAGAACUCUCAUGAUCACUCUACAAGAUUGUGACCUGAAUGAUGAAUCAGCAGCUUAAGUUCACCCCAUUAAUAAAAUCUUUUGCCGUUCCCAUCCCGCCUCUAAUAAAAGCUUACUUAAUACGUAGUCCCAUCAACCCCUACCAUCAAAGUAGGGGUUGAAUUUGGUGCUCUUUAGCCUUUAAUCACCACAAGAGUCACAAAUUCUUCUCUCUCCUUAUCUUUCCAACCCCACUGAUAUCUCAGGCAGGUCUAUAAAUAGGAAGAACCAAGCCAUAUUAUACUCACUCAGCAAUCAUCUCUUGCAUACUUUCAUAUAUACAUUAUCGUGCUUCUUGUUAAGCAAAACAUGGCAUCCUCAAAGGCUUUUCUUCUUCUUGGUCUUGUCUUUGCUGUUCUCCUCAUCUCCUAUGAGGUCUUAGCUAUUCCAACUCGUGAGUUUCUCACUUUCUUAACUAAAUCAUAAAUAUUAAAUUAGUAAUUGUAUCUUUCUUUCCAGUAACGAUUUGUGAAUUUAUGCACAUUUUAAUUAAGGUGCACUGGUCGUGAAAAUAAUUAUGCUUCGAACUCUUUUUCUACAUGUAGGGUUAGUAGUUGUUGCACUUGCAUGGCUUAAUUUGCAUCUUAUUAAAUACAAACCGAUUUAUGAUUGUUAUAAGUUAUGUAUAUUGUUUUUGCUUUAUAUAUAAAGUUUUUGGUUGUUCUCUCAGAGUCAGAGGAGAGUACAGUCAACGGUGAUGCCCGCGGAUUUGGAGGUCAUGGCCGCGGAUUUGGAGGUCAUGGCCACGGACAUGGAGGUCAUGGCCACGGACAUGGUGGUCAUGGCCACGGACAUGGAGGUCAUGGGCACGGACAUGGAGGUCAUGGCCACGGACAUGAAGGGUAUGGCCACGGACAUGGUGGAUAUGGCCACGGCGGCCACGGCCACCACGGCCACCACGGCCACCAUGGCAUAGGGAGGCCUGGUGCUGCUGAGACUGAAAUCAAGAAUUAGAUAACCUGUUAGUUUCUGUGACUUACGUUGCAGGUGUGUUGUAAGGGUAGCAGUACGAAAUAAAGUUGUUUGGUUGAGUAAUCUAUAUGAACUCUCAAUCAUAAACUGUCCUAAGCUUGUUCUCAUGUUUCUCAUGUUCUCUGUAAUGUACGCAUUGUAAUGUACGCAUUGGAAUGUGUUCUCUUGUUAUGUGAUAAAAUGUGAUGUAACUUUCUCAAUACAUAUUAUGUCAAAAAUGUUUAGUGUGGCUUGGCUCCUUAAAAUUGAGGGGGAGCACAUCCUCAUAACAAAUGAGAUUUUGGCACUAGUUAAACUUCAAAAAAAUAAAAAUAAAAAGAGGUUAAAAGAAUUCAAAUGAAAAAAAAAAUUAAAGGAAUUUGCCAAGUGUCAAAACUCUAUUUCUUUUGAGGAGGAACUGCUCCUCAGUUUUGUGGAGCCAAACUUUUUCCUAAUAUUAAUGGAGUUCAUGUAGACUCAUUUGUUUUGGGUACCAAAUUUAAUGAAUUGUGUAUUCAUUGGUGGACCCAUAAGCAUACAGUUUUUAAUUUAGGUGAGAUACUCUCGGCAAUUUAAAUCAUGUCAAAAACAUGAUAUCAAAAAAAAUCAGCCGUCAUCGAGUUUGUAGAUAAAGAAAUAAUAUAUAUGAAUGAACGUAAGCUAUAGAGAAGAACAUUUUGUGGAAAACUAGAAAUUUGUAGGGAGAAAUAAGAGGAAGAAAGGGAGUAUAAUUUGCUCAAAUAAACUUGUAUUCCAUUCAUAUUUGGUGCCACUAUUUAUAGGGGUAGAGAGGCCUAAAUCAUUUACCACCAAUAAUUGAUAGGUGACAAAUAUAUAAUGAUGAGUAUUAUGAUAGGUUAAUAGUGGCCAGUAAUUGGGGAGGGUUCCCUCUCUCUCUCUGACUCCCUCACUUUGGAUUCUGUAUUGAUUGUUCCAUCCUUACAUCAUAAUCUCUUAUAUGUUGCCCAAAUUACUACAUCUUUGAAUUGCAUUGUAACCUUUUGGCCUACACAUUGUGUUUUUUAGGACAUUCUCAGCAGCAAGACGAUUGGUUGUGGUACUAGGACGGGCAAACUCUACUAUCUGGACUUGGCAUCUGACAGUGAAGCCAGCCUCAGUCAAGCUUACAAAAUUGGGGUUACGAGUGUUGAGAAGCAAACUUUCGGAGUAUGGUUAUGACAUCGCCGACUUGGACAUGCUUCAUUUGGAUAUUUACAGAAGCUAUUUUCUUCCUUAUUUUUCCAGUUAGAUAUCUCUAGUUUUACGUGUAACAUCUGUGAAAUAGCCAAGAGCCAUCGUGUUCCUUUCCCUUUAAGUUCACAUAAAAGUUUGGUUCCUUUUUCUCUUGUUCAUUAUGAUAUUUGGGGCCCGCUAAAAUUACCACUCUCGGGGGAGCUAGAUGGUUUGUCGCGUUUAUCGAUGAUUGCACACGUAUGACCUGGGUUUCCCUUCUUCAAACAAAAGGAGAAGUCAGUUUCAAGUUUCAACAGUUCUAUCACAUGGUGGAGACACAAUUUCAUACAAGAAUUCAAGUUCUUCGGUCUGACAAUGGCGGAGAAUUUUUCUACCAUAAUCUUACUCAAUUCUUACAAGAUCAUGGCAUCAUACAUCAACGCUCAUGCCCUUACACUCCCCAACAGAAUGGUGUGGCUGAACGAAAGAAUAAACACUUAUUGGAAGUGGUUCGUGCCUCUCUCUUUGGUGCCAAUAUGCCUCGGUCUUUCUGGGGAGAAGACGUCCUCUUUGUAGCAUACCUUAUCAAUCUGAUUCCCUCCAGUAUCCUUAAUUUCCAAACCCCCCCUUCAAACACUCUACCACCAUAUCCAAAUACCUUAUACCAAAAACCUAGAACUACGGAUUUUUGGUUGUGUGGUCUUUGUCUUCUUACAUGAUCACUAACACAACAAAUUGAAUCCCCGCGCCAAAAAGUGUGUUUUUAUUGGUUAUGCACCUCAUUAGAAAGGUUACCGGUGUUAUGAUUCUCCUAGUCAGAAGGUCUAUACUUCUAUGGCUGUUGUGUUCCGAGAACACGACAUAUAUUUUUCAGCCAUACAGGAGGAGCAUUGCGAUGCCAACACAUCUCAAAUUUCAAGACUUUUCCUUUCAGAAUUGUCACAUACUGAAAACGACCAGUUGCAGAAUGCAAGCGACCGGUCGCCGAAGACUCUGCCUGAAAACGACCGGUCGCCUAAGACUCUGCCUGAAAGCGACCGGUCGUCCCCCGGAAAUCCGAAUCUGCUUCAAAACGACCGGUUGUCUCUCUGUUGUCAAACUCAGGAGGAGAACAUUGAGGAGUUUUUGCCCGCUCAGGAGAAUUCUUUAACUCCAGUACCCCACCAAUCACCUGCUGAGGACGUCAUUCAGGUAACCUCUUUUCCUGAAACUAAUAACAUUAAUGAAAUAUCCUAUGAUGAUUUAAUUUCAGAAGGCACAUAGCCUACAUAUUAGAUUCCAAAAUGGAAGAACGGUGGAAAACCUUCAGUUCACUACGAAGCAGACCUUAAUGCAAAAUGGAAAUAUCCCAUCGACAAUUAUGUAUCCAUCAGUAGAUUAUCGGAAUCACGGGUACACUUUGUGAAGCAGUUGGAUGGCAUACCUGUUCCCAACAAUGUAACUGAAACACUAGAAGACUCAACAUGGAAAGAAGCCAUGAAUGAAGAAAUGCAAGCUCUUCAGAAGAAUGACACAUGGGAACUCGUGCCAUUACCUCAUGGAAAGAAGACUGUCGGAUGCAGGUGGAUUUAUACUGUGAAACUCAAAGUAGAUGGAUCCAUUAAAAGAUAUAAAGCUAGAUUGGUGGGGAAAUGCUACACACAAAGAUAUGGGAUAGACUACCAUUAGACUUUUACCCCAGUAGCCAAGAUUAAAACUAUCAGAGUUCUUCUAUCUUUAGCAGCAAAUCUCGAUUGGCCAUUACAUCAGUUUGUUGUAAAAAAUGCAUUCUUACAUGGAGACUUGGAAGAAGAAGUAUAUAUGGACUUGCCACAAGAAUGUAACUUAGCUCGUGACAAGGAGAAUCAAGUUUGCAAGCUCUGAAAGUCAUUGUAUGGGUUAAAGCAAUCCUCUAGGGCAUGGUUUGGCAGAUUCACUAAAUCUAUGAAGAAUUUUGAAUAUAUACAAAGUAAUGUAGAUCACACCUUGUUCUUGAAGCAUGAUGGAAGAAGACUUACUGCACUGAUUGUUUAUGUGGAUGACAUAGUCGUAACUGGAAACGACACAGAAGAGCAAUUGACACUGCAGAAAUAUUUGUCUCAGGAAUUUGAGAUGAAGAAUCUAGGUGAUCUGAAGUACUUUAUAGGAAUUGAAGUAGCUAGGUCCAAAACUAGUAUAUUUCUGUCUUAAAAGAAGUAUGUAUUAGAUCUGCUCACUGAAAUAGGAAUGCUUGGAUGCAAACCUGCUGAUACACCCAUCGAGAUGAAUCACAAGUUAUGUGAAGACAUGGAUCAAGAACCAACCAAUAAGGAACAGUACCAACACCUUGUUGGAAGGUUGAUAUAUUUAGCUCACACAAGACCAGAUAUUGCAUAUGCUGUGAGUAUGGUUAGUCAGUUUAUGCAUUCACCCAGUGUGUCCCAUAGGAAUGCAGUUGAUCGGAUCUUAAGAUACUUAAAGUCAGCACAUGGAAAAAGGGUUAACAUUCUAAAAAAAUAGAGAUCUCAAAGUUGUUGGAUAUACAAAUGCUGAUUGGGCUGGCUCCGUUACUGACAGACGCUCUACUUCAGGUUACUUCACUUGUGGGAGGUAACCUAGUCACUUGGCGGAGUGAAAAACAAAAUGUGGUUUCUCGAUCUAGUGCUGAAGUAGAGUAUUGAGGAAUGGCUCACGGAGUUUGUGAAUUACUAUGGAUCAGAAGACUAUUGACAGAAUUGGGGUUUAAGCCAGGAAAGCCAAUGGAGUUACAUUGUGAUAACAAGUCAGCCAUCGAUAUUGCCCAUAGUCCAAUUCAACAUGAUCGAACUAAACAUGUUGAGGUGGAUAGACAUUUUAUCAAAGAAAAACUUGAGAAGAAGAUCAUCCGCCUACCGUUGGUAAAAUUAGAAGAUUAGUUGGCAAAUAUCUUAACCAAAGCUGUUUGUGGAAGAGUAUUUUCUGACUCACGUACCAAGUUGGGCAUUGGUGACAUAUAUGCACCAACUUGAGGAGGAGUGUCGACUUGAGUCUCCUAAUUAAUCAAGGAGGUUUACUUCCUUGAUUAAUUAAGGGAUUUACUUUCCUAUUUUUUAUAUAGUUGAUAAAUCAUUGUAUAAUUAGAAGAUACUUGCCUAAUUCUUUACUGUAUCUAAUUCCUUGUAUAGCACCCUGUAAACUCUUAUAUAUACCUCAUUAUGGAGAAGAAUAAAGUUAACCUAAUACAUUCAAAUCAUAUUCAUAUUUUAGCAUUCUCCUCAUCUCCUCUGAGGUCUCAACUACUCCAACUCGUGAGUUUCUCACUUUAAAUUAGUAAUUGUAUCUUCCUUUCCAGUAACGAUUUGUAAAUUUAGGCACAUUUUAAUUAUAAGGUGCACUGGUCUUGAAAAUGAUUAUGCUUCGAACUCUUUUUCUACAUGAAGGGCUAGUGGUUGCACCUGCAUGGCUUAAUUUGCACCUUAUUAAAUACAAACCUAGCUAUGAUUGUUAUAAGUUAUGUAUAUUGUUUUUGCUCUAUAUAUAAAGUUUUUGUUUGUUCUCUUAGAGGAGAGUAUAGUGGUGGCGGAGCCACUUCUAGGCCAGGAGCGGCCCUGGUCCCUUUAUUUUUUUUGACUUCUCUCCUAUAUUAUAUAAUGUAAUAUAUACAACUUACUAAUAGACAACUUGUAAUUCAAAUUAAUGGCCCCUUUAAAAAUAAUUAGGCAUGACUAAUUUUGAAAAUUUUAGCUCUAACAUGUGUUUUGAACACUUAUAUGUAUUUGAUAUACUUGUGUUUUCUAUCUUGGCCCCCUCAAUCUUAAAUUUCUAGCUUCGCCCGGUGAUGAUUUUCUAGAUGACCAUGGUGACGGACGUGGAGGGUAUGGCCACAGACAUGGAGGGUAUGGCCAUGGCCACCACGGCAAAGGGGGGCCUUGUGCUGCUAAGACUGAAACCAAGAAUUAGAUAACCUGUUAGUUUCUGUGACUUACGUUGCAGGUGUGUUGUAAGGGUAGUAGUACAAAAUAAAGUUGUUUGGUUGAGUAAUCUGUAUGAAC